GGAUGCGAUCAUACCAGCACUAAAGCACCGGAUCCCAUCAGAACUCCGAAGUUAAGCGUGCUUGGGCGAGAGUAGUACUAUGAUGGGUGACCUCCUGGGAAGUCCUCGUGUUGUAUUCC
rnacentral:rRNA from 1 species